rnacentral:rRNA from 1 species
GAUGAACGCUGGCGGCGUGCCUAAUACAUGCAAGUCGAGCGAAUGGAUUAAGAGCUUGCUCUUAUGAAGUUAGCGGCGGACGGGUGAGUAACACGUGGGUAACCUGCCCAUAAGACUGGGAUAACUCCGGGAAAACGGGGCUAAUACCGGAUAACAUUUUGAACCGCAUGGUUCGAAAUUGAAAGGCGGCUUCGGCUGUCACUUAUGGAUGGCCUCGCGUCGCAUUAGCUAGUUGGUGAGGUAACGGCUCACCAAGGCAACGAGGCGUAGACGACCUGAGAGGGUGAUCUGCCACACUGGGACUGAGACACGGCCAGGACUCCUACCGGAGAGAGCAGUAGGGGAUCUUCCGCAAUUGACGAGAGUCUGACGGAGCAACGCCGCGUGAGUGAUGAAGGCUUUCGGGUCGUAAUACUCUGUUGUUAGGGAAGAACAAGUGCUAGUUGAAUAAGCUGGCACCUUGACGGUACCUAACCAGAAAGCCACGGCUAACUACGUGCCAGCCGCCGCGGUAA